rnacentral:rRNA from 1 species
GACGAACGCUGGCGGCGUGCCUAAUACAUGCAAGUUGAGCGCUGAAGGUUGGUACUUGUACCAACUGGAUGAGCAGCGAACGGGUGAGUAACGCGUGGGGAAUCCGCCUUUGAGCGGGGGACAACAUUUGGAAACGAAUGCUAAUACCGCAUAAAAACUUUAAACACAAGUUUUAAGUUUGAAAGAUGCAAUUGCAUCACUCAAAGAUGAUCCCGCGUUGUAUUAGCUAGUUGGUGAGGUAAAGGCUCACCAAGGCGAUGAUACAUAGCCGACCUGAGAGGGUGAACGGCCACAUUGGGACUGAGACACGGCCCAAACUCCUACGGGAGGCAGCAGUAGGGAAUCUUCGGCAAUGGACGAAAGUCUGACCGAGCAACGCCGCGUGAGUGAAGAAGGUUUUCGGAUCGUAAAACUCUGUUGGUAGAGAAGAACGUUGGUGAGAGUGGAAAGCUCAUCAAGUGACGGUAACUACCCAGAAAGGGACGGCUAACUACGUG